GUUUUAUGACCUUGGACGAUUUUGCAGUUUAUCAAUUUCUGGUUUGUUGGACGAUGUCUUUGAACAGAGUUUUCUACCUUUUCACUGAGACGUUCCUGUAUUUCAGGUUUCGCCUGUCCCAAGUGCGGUGUGGUUUUUAAACACAAGAAAAACCUGAGCACCCACGCGAAAUGGGAGUGCGGGAAAGAGCCGAGGUUCUCCUGUUCUUUCUGCCCGUACAGGGCCCACAGGAAGUGCAGCCUCAAACUGCACGUUUACAAUAAGCACGAUCAACUGUGAUGAAUUUCUUUGCCAUUGCGGUCGAAAGUUCAAACACCAGAGGAACCUGACUACACACAAGAAUUACGAGUGCGGGAAGCCACAUCGGUUCCUAUGCCCUGUGUGCCCCUACAGGACGCACUGGAAGAAGCAGCUUAAAGUUCACUGCUUCAACAUCCACCACAUGAACUUCUUUUAACGAACGGUUUCAGCGCUAAUAACAAAUGCGUAGUCUGUUUGCACGCCUCAAACAGGUUAUACAAAAAUUGAGAUUGUCAACAAUAAAUUUUUUCAAGAAAAAAAA